GAAAAAUGGUAAAUGAUCAACCAUGGCACUAUCUGCUUAACAUUAUUUGGGUUUUGAAAUCUACGUAUAAAUAUCAUCAAUUUUCUUUCAAUCAUAUGCUGACAUUAAUUGAAUAAAAUCUAAAUCUAAAUAGCAUUACAAAGCAACAUGCAUCAAAGUGAUGGAUAUCAGUAUCUAACUUGUAUCUUCUUCAACUUCUUUAGAAGAAACUGGAGUCUCAAACGUGCUGAAAGCUCUAUAAGAAGAUAUUACAGCUAAAACAAUGAAGCAGAAAAGAGCCACGGCAUGGAGAAUCAAUGCUAGCUUCAUUCUAGUGCAGAACUUUCCAUAAGAACGGCAGGCUUCACUCCAUGUGACUUUCUGAUCACCAUUAUAAGCUAAGUACAGCAGCUCCAUGAUUGCAGCCACAGAUGUGACCAUUAAGUAAGUAAUAAUCUGAUCAGAGACAAAGAGCCACCAAACUUUAUUAACUAAGAAUCUGAUCCAUAGAGACACAGCAGCAACAAAAGCAUAAACAGCACAAAUGGCACUGAUACAAACCAUGUACUUGAGGCCCAUGAGAUUGCUGUAGUGUAAAUUUCCAUAGCUGCUGUUGUCCUGAUGGUUGGUCACAGUUAACCAAAUGGUUGCAACACUGAGAGGAAUCACAGAGAGCCUGAGAGAACAAUCUAUGAGCUUGAGCAUUGGAGCCAUCUCUGUAAAUAAAAGGCAAAGCCCACUUAAGCUAUAGGCGAAUAAAAGAACCGAAAGAGAAGGAGAAAAGAGGAAGAGUUCAGUUGAACUGAAAUUGGUAUGAGGGGACAGAUCAUAGAUAUAUACUCUUCUUCUGGCCUGAAGAAAAGGGUGUGGUUGGAGUAGUGGAAAGAGUGAGAAGCAGUGGGAUGGGGCUGGGGCUUUGCUUUUUGUCAGUGUAGGAAUCAUGGUAUUAUUUGUUUGGUAUUAUCUGCUAGACUUGGCUUCAAUGAUUCCACACGGUUUUGUUGAUUUUUUAUCUACUUCAUUCCACUUUUCAACAUAUCUAAAAUAAAAAGGAGAUCUCUGGCUUAAAUUCCAUGAUAUUCAAACUUUUUUGAACCUAUCGGUU
rnacentral:misc_RNA from 1 species